rnacentral:misc_RNA from 1 species
UUUUUAUCCUUUUUCUGUACUUCAGGGCUAGUUGUCAUGUUUUGACUUAGAGAUUUUUUUUCAAAUAUGGAAAAUUCCAUAAAUUUUUUUGCCUUGUAAAAUUUGUUGGGUGGCUGUACUUGCGUUUCAAUGAAAUGAUAUCAUAAAUAUUUUUACCUGGUAAUAUUUGCUCUACAGGGGUGGGACUUAGAGAAAUGUUUCAAAUAUUGUUACUACCUCAGGGCUAGUUGCCUAACAGGGUGGGCUGUAGGGUUGGUUGGUCCCCCAGGGGUCAGGAUGUUGGGAGGAUGCAAUACUUCAGGACUAGUUUCUAGUAGAUAUGUUGCCAGCCAAGGACCAUAUUUUUGUGUUACACUUUCAGCUUCUCUCAGCUAUAACACCUUCAACACAAGGAGAAAGUCCCCG